rnacentral:rRNA from 1 species
GCCUCAAGGUGAGAGAUACGGAGGUAGAGCACUGAAUGUCCUAGGGGGUAUUGCACCUACCGAAGACUAUCAAACUCCGAAUGCCGUCAUCUUAUACUUGGGAGUCAGACUGUGGGUGAUAAGAUUCAUAGUCGAAAGGGCAACAGCCCAGAUCGUCAGCUAAGGUCCCUAAAUGUAAGUUAAGUGGUAAAGGAUGUGGGAUUGCACAGACAACCAGGAUGUUGGCUUAGAAGCAGCCACUCAUUCAAAGAGUGCGUAAUAGCUCACUGGUCGAGUGAUCCUGCGCCGAAGAUUUCCGGGGCUAAAACUUACUACCGAAGCUACGGCAUCAGUAAUGAUGGGUAGGGGAGCUUCCCAUACGGGGUGAAGCAUGACCGUAAGGACAUGUGGACAGUAUGGGAGUGAGAAUGUUGGCAUGAGUAGCGAGAUGUGGGUGAGAAUCCCACAGGCCGUAAACCCAAGGUUUCCAGGGGAAGGUUCGUCCGCCCUGGGUUAGUCGGGACCUAAGCUGAGGCCGAAAGGCGUAGGUGAUGGACAACAGGUUGAUAUUCCUGUACUACCGAUAACCGUUUGAGAGAAGGGAUGACACAGUAGGAUAAGCUAAGCACACUGUUGGUUAUGUGUGCCCAAGCAUUGAGGCAGUCAAAGUAGGCAAAUCCGCUUUGAUAAUGCUGGGAUGUGAUGGGGAGCGAAAUUUAGUAGCGAAGUAGCUGAUUUCACACUGUCAAGAAAAGUCUCUAUCGAGGUUAAAGGUACCCGUACCGCAAACCGACACAGGUGGGUGAGGAGAGUAUCCUAAGGCCAGCGAGAGAACUGUUGUUAAGGAACUCGGCAAAAUGACCCCGUAACUUAGGGAUAAGGGGUGCCACCAUCAGGUGGCCGCAGAGAAUAGGCCCAAGCGACUGUUUACCAAAAACAUAGGUUUCUGCUAAGUCGCAAGACGAUGUAUAGGAGCUGACGCCUGCCCGGUGCUGGAAGGUUAAGGGGAUCUGUUAGAGCAAUCGAAGCAGUGAACUUAAGCCCCAGUAAACGGCGGCCGUAACUAUAACGGUCCUAAGGUAGCGAAAUUCCUUGUCGGGUAAGUUCCGACCCGCACGAAAGGCGUAACGAUUUGGGCACUGUCUCAACAACAGACUCGGUGAAAUUGUAAUUCCGGUGAAGAUGCCGGAUACCUGCGACAGGACGGAAAGACCCCAUGGAGCUUUACUGUAGCUUGACAUUGGGUCUUGGUACUACAUGUACAGGAUAGGUGGGAGGCUUUGAAACCAGGACGCCAGUUUUGGCGGAGCCAUCCUUGGGAUACCACCCUUGUAGUACUGGGACUCUAACCAUAGGCCAUGAAUCUGGUCUUGGGACACUGUCAGGUGGGCAGUUUGACUGGGGCGGUCGCCUCCCAAAAGGUAACGGAGGCGCUCAAAGGUUCUCUCAGUACGGUCGGAAAUCGUACGUAGAGUGUAAAGGCAAAAGAGAGCUUGAUUGCAAGACAUACAGGUCGAGCAAGGAUGAAAAUCGGACUUAGUGAUCCGGUGGUUCUGCGUGGAAGGGCCAUCGCUCAACGGAUAAAAGCUACCCUGGGGAUAACAGGCUUAUCUCCCCCAAGAGUCCACAUCGACGGGGAGGUUUGGCACCUCGAUGUCGGCUCAUCACAUCCUGGGGCUGUAGUAGGUCCCAAGGGUUGGGCUGUUCGCCCAUUAAAGUGGUACGCGAGCUGGGUUCAGAACGUCGUGAGACAGUUCGGUCCCUAUCCGUCGCAGGCGUAGGAAAUUUGAGAAGACCUGUCCUUAGUACGAGAGGACCGGGAUGGACGUACCUCUGGUGUACCAGUUGUNCUGCCAAGGGCAUGGCUGGGUAGCUAUGUACGGAAUGGAUAAGCGCUGAAAGCAUCUAAGCGCGAAGCCAACUUCAAGAUAAGAUUUCCCACCGCAAGGGUAAGACCCCAGAAAGACUAUCUGGUUGAUAGGUCGAAGGUGUAAGUGCAGCAAUGUAUUUAGCUUAUCGAUACUAAUAGGUCGAGGACUUGACCAA